CCUACGGGAGGCAGCAGUGGGGAAUUUUGGACAAUGGACGCAAGUCUGAUCCAGCCAUUCCGCGUGCAGGACGAAGGCCUUCGGGUUGUAAACUGCUUUUGUACAGAACGAAAAGGUCUCUAUUAAUACUAGGGGCUCAUGACGGUACUGUAAGAAUAAGCACCGGCUAACUACGUGCCAGCAGCCGCGGUAAUACGUAGGGUGCAAGCGUUAAUCGGAAUUACUGGGCGUAAAGCGUGCGCAGGCGGUUAUAUAAGACAGAUGUGAAAUCCCCGGGCUCAACCUGGGAACUGCAUUUGUGACUGUAUAGCUGGAGUGCGGCAGAGGGGGAUGGAAUUCCGCGUGUAGCAGUGAAAUGCGUAGAUAUGCGGAGGAACACCGAUGGCGAAGGCAAUCCCCUGGGCCUGCACUGACGCUCAUGCACGAAAGCGUGGGGAGCAAACAGGAUUAGAUACCCUGGUAGUCCACGCCCUAAACGAUGUCAACUGGUUGUUGGGUCUUCACUGACUCAGUAACGAAGCUAACGCGUGAAGUUGAACCGCCUGGGGAGUUACGGCCGCAAGGUUGAAACUUCAAAGGAAUUGACGGCGNGAGACGNGCGACGGACGACGACGAGGGAGGAGG
rnacentral:rRNA from 1 species